CUCACAAACUGCAAGUUCAUGCCCUGAGCCAAAGUCAAGAGUCAGAGAUGCUCAACCAACUGAGCUACCCAGGCUCCCCUUCAUCACCGAUAUUUUACACAAGCAAUAAAACAGUGUCUUUUCCACUCAUUCCUAAUUCAAUUAGUAUUAAUGAAGGCCCCACAGGUACAUCGUAUCAGAAAAUAGAAUUGUUACCUGAGAAAUCCUACCAGAAAAAAAAGUCCAGUAAGUACAACAGUUGGGAUCAUUACAAAGGCAAAAUAGUAGGUAAAUGUACAAAGUAGGCAAAAAUCUUGCCCUGUGCAGUUCAUCAAAACACAUCUUUAAUUUAUCUUGUCCACUGUUUUGAUGAUGCCGAGACUUAGCACUUAGCACAGCGGGAACAAGGAAAAAUGAGCAAGGAUUUCUUUUGGAUGAGAAUGCACAAACACCUAUUCGUAACGCCAUUCGUAAGCAUUUUUUUUUUAAUCAACAUUGUCAUUGUCACAUCCCGCUUGAUCUUCCUACUUUGGGUUAAUAUGGGAGCCAAUUACAGCUUCAUCUGUUUAGAAUUAACUUUAUGGAGCACACACCGGGGAUUUGUCUAUCUUCACUAUUUAGAUACAUGUCAUAAAAAUAUGCAUGGAAUGGAGUGCAGGCAUUGCAGAUGGCAGAGACCUACAGAUUUAUUGUAAAAUCAUUUAAAAUUGGUUAUGCUCUUGCCAGAAGUUAAUUAAUUUUUUUCUCUUCAUUUCUGGGGCCGGGGGGGCUGGGGGGGGCUCUGUGUCUCACUAGGUGGCAGUGUAUGAUUAUAUCUGGAAAAACCAUGGCUUCAAGUCCAGAAUCUCCAGCUGUGACCUCCAAAAGCAAAAUGAAAUUUCUGUGUCUGCACUUGGUCCAGGAGAUAUUAUUUCUCAUGUAUCUAUAUACACCGUUUAUCCCAGUGGAUUCCAAGAGCUGUACCGCCAUUUUCUCAGACUCCCCAGUGGUGCCAUUGUUGAGGUGUUUGGUGAUAUCAGUGGCCUAAGGUUUAUCCCCACGGAAGUGGCCACAGCAAUUCAGGAGCAUAUAAAUGAAAUGGAUGGUACAUCCGAAGACUCCUUUGAUAUUAAAUCAAGAGAAAUGAAAAGAAUCCAUUAAAAUUAAAAGGAAUUGGUGGUCCCAAUGCAAGAAGUGGCAUAAUUAAGAGAAGCGAUAUUUUCUGGCCCCUGAAAGAUGCCCAUAUCCACAGUGUAUUUCUUAAUCCAAGGAGUCUCUCACUACAUUAUUUCAGCAUAGAAGUUGUUCAGUGUUUUUAAAUGGAAGUCUGUAGUGUUUUGUUGCUCUCAUUGCUUCAUAUAUGUUUUCCUUGCCAUUGAACUUAUCUUACUGAGCAGUAAGCAUUAAGUAAUAGAUUCAACAUACGAGUCAUUCUAACACUUAUAUAACAUGAUGUGUAUGUUUGCAUGCUCAUGCAUGUGUGUCUGUGUGUGUGCGUGUGUGUGUGCUUAUGUGUUGAGUAGAGAUUGACUAACGUGUUUUUCAGGAGUUUUCUUUUGUUGCUGAAUAUUCAUGGGCUCAGUGAUAUAAUUCAAUCCAACACUCAAGAAUUUGGUACUAUCUUACCUCUGAAGUAAAUAUCACAUUUGCA